rnacentral:rRNA from 1 species
AUUGAACGCUGGCGGCAGGCCUAACACAUGCAAGUCGAGCGAGCGGCGGACGGGUGAGUAAUGUCUGGGAAACUGCCUGAUGGAGGGGGGAAAAUACUGGAAACGGUAGCUAAUACCGCAUACCAUCAGAUGUGCCCAGAUGGGAUUAGAUAGUAGGUGGGGUAACGGCUCACCUAGGCGACGAUCCCUAGCUGGUCUGGGAGGAUGACCAGCCACACUGGAACUGAGACACGUUCCAGACUCCUACGGGAGGCAUCAGUGGGGAAUAUUGCACAAUGGGCGCAAGCCUUAUGCAGCCAUGCCGGGUGUGUGAAGAAGGCCUUCGGGUUGUAAAGCACUUUCAGCGGGGAGGCGUUACCCGCAGAAGAAGCACCGGCUAACUCCGUGCCAGCCGCCGCGGUAAUUC